rnacentral:rRNA from 1 species
UACGAGAGGCCCAAACGUUAUUCGGAAUUACUGGGCUUAAAGAGUUCGUAGGCGGCGCAGAAAGUAGGGUGUGAAAGCCCUCGGCUUAACCGAGGAAUUGCGCCCUAAACUACUGUGCUUGAGGAACCUAGAGGUGAGCAGAACAGAUGGUGGAGCGGUGAAAUGCGUUGAUAUCAUCUGGAAUACCGGAGGCGAAGGCGGCUCACUGGGGGUUUUCUGACGCUGAGGAACGAAAGCCAGGGUAGCGAACGGG